GUUCCCUAAAAGAUGUGAGAAUACCCUGGAUGUUAGUCAUUUGUAAAGAUAUAUGUGAAUCUUGUUGUAGGUUAAACAGAAAAAUAGAUUUAAUAUUUUACAUAAAUAUGGAAAUGUAAAGAUUAAGGCAAAAGGGCAGGCAUAUAUAUUUAAAUACACUGAAUUCAUAGUUAAACCACUUCAUAGUGGGAAAGACUGGAGAGUAAGUAGAUUUCUUUGCCCUCCUGGUCUUUCUAGAAUUUUACAUACUGAUUUCUUGGUUCUUUUAUCCAGGUAUCUCCCCUAAUCCCCUUUUUAAAAAAGUAAUCUCUACCCCCAACGUGGAGCUUGAACUCAUGACUCUGAGAUCAAGAGUUCCAUGCUCUACUGACUGUGCCAGCCAGGUGUCCCCCAGGUAUCUCACCUUUUUAAAAUAACCCUCACUAGACUCUCAUUUCUAUCACCCAACCUCUGUACCUUUCCAGAAGAAUCAUCAAUAUUUGGUGGUCUCCACUUCUUCACCUUUCACUCAACCCAGUCCAACCUAGCUACUACCACCAUUAUAUGUCAUCAAAAGAACUUUUGCUUGGACCACCAAGGAAUUCCUUAUUCCUAAGUCCAAUACAGAUUGUUGGUUUUCAUCUUUUUGGCCUGUCUGCAGAACCUGGCACUGCUGACUGUUCUUUCUUAAAACAUGCCUCUCUUGGCUUCUGUGACAUCAUAUCCUGUUUUUCUUCCUGGCUGUCUGGCUAUUAUUCCCACCUCUACAAGCUUAUCUUUUACUUAGCCAUUAAAUGUCACACUUCUGGACUUAGUUCCUGGCCUCCUAAUGUCACUGUAUGUCCUCUCUCAUGAUAGUCCUACCAAUGCCUGGUUUCCAUUACAACCUAAAUAUGCAAGGAUCAGUCUUCUAUCUCUAGCCCAAUUUUUCCUCUGGUUUCUUGUCCCAGGAUAUCCAGUUGCCUAGCUGACAUCUCCAUUUGCAAAUCUCGAAAGAAUCUUAAAGAUCUAGCUGAUCCAGUACACUGCGGAAAGUACCCAUAUGAUCGAGGACUUCUUCUGUUAUAGAAUUCAGGAUCUAUAUCAUAAAAGUGCAAGAGGAAAGAAGCCAUUGAUGACAACAUGAAUGGAAUCUUGCAGCACAGUGGUUCGAAACCUUUCUAGUAAAUCUCUUUUAGAACCCAAACCAAAAAGCACAAUGUUGAACCCCAGGCUGUUAGGAAAGAUAGCA